UGCAUCGGCCGGGAAUCGAACCCGCCUGGCAGGCGAGCAUUCUACCACUAAACCACCGAUGC
rnacentral:tRNA from 1 species